AACGAACGCUGGCGGCAUGCCUAAUACAUGCAAGUCGAACGAGACCUUCGGGUCUUGUGGCGCACGGGUGCGUAACGCGUGGGAACCUGCCCUUAGGUUCGGAAUAACUCCCCGAAAGGGGUGCUAAUACCGGAUAAUGUCUUCGGACCAAAGAUUUAUCGCCUUUGGAUGGGCCCGCGUUGGAUUAGCUAGUUGGUAGGGUAAAAGCCUACCAAGGCGACGAUCCAUAGCUGGUCUGAGAGGAUGAUCAGCCACACUGGGACUGAGACACGGCCCAGACUCCUACGGGAGGCAGCAGUGGGGAAUAUUGGACAAUGGGCGAAAGCCUGAUCCAGCAAUGCCGCGUGAGUGAUGAAGGCCUUAGGGUUGUAAAGCUCUUUUACCCGGGAUGAUAAUGACAGUACCGGGAGAAUAAGCUCCGGCUAACUCCGUG
rnacentral:rRNA from 1 species